AACGAACGCUGGCGGCAGGCUUAACACAUGCAAGUCGAGCGCCCCGCAAGGGGAGCGGCAGACGGGUGAGUAACGCGUGGGAAUCUACCCAUCUCUACGGAAUAACGCAUGGACACGUGUGCUAAUACCGUAUACGUCCUUCGGGAGAAAGAUUUAUCGGAGAUGGACGAGCCCGCGUUGGAUUAGCUAGUUGGUGGGGUAAAGGCCUACCAAGGCGACGAUCCAUAGCUGGUCUGAGAGGAUGAUUAGCCACACUGGGACUGAGACACGGCCCAGACUCCUGCGGGAGGCAGCAGUGGGGAAUAUUGGACAAUGGGCGCAAGCCUGAUCCAGCCAUGCCGCGUGAGUGAUGAAGGCCCUAGGGUUGUAAAGCUCUUUCACCGGUGAAGAUAAUGACGGUAACCGGAGAAGAAGCCCCGGCUAACUUCGUGCCAGCCGCCGCCGUAAUAC
rnacentral:rRNA from 1 species